GACCACUGGUUAACCCUCACCCUGCCACCGCCUGCCCUGGCCUCACGGCUCCGCUCCCACGGCGUUUCCCUGACGCAGACGUUAAAGGGGUCUUUACUCCGGGUGGGGGAAAGGCGUCCCCUCGCAGGCUUCAGCGUUGCGGUAAAGCAAUACAUGAAAUAAGCUCCGAGAAAGAGCCUGACGUGGUACCUGGUAAACAGAAGGCACCAAAUAGGAUCUUUUUCUCCCUGGAAUUUCCUAAGGACCAAAAGUGUGAUUAGAACAUUGCCUGCUUACCCCGCGAAUGCUGUCCUUUUACCGGGGCGGGAGCUGGAGAAAUCUAAUUGAACGGCAGCCUGAAGAAUCCAGAAUAAAACCAGCCUGGAUCUGGAUUCGUUCCGGGCUCAGGAUUUUAGGGCCUCGGUGGAAACGUCCGAUCACUUCUCAAAAGGCACUUAGGCCACUCAGUCCCAGAGAUUCAGGUUGCUGAGUCAUUUGUUCCCAAGAAGAUCCUCUGACAACAUGAAAAGCAGCAAAACAGAGCAGCAGCCAAGCCUGGACCUGGAGUGGCCAACGGCUGGGUUCUUCUUCCCCGCGGUGGGCAGCCCUGCGAAACGAGCAUCGGCCAGCUCCCCACCACGGCCCCCCGAUGGUGGCGCCAGGCCUGCCCACACCUGGAAACUCUCAUGGGGACGGGGCUUUCCCACGGGCCCUCUGAAGCCCGGCUGGGGUUGUUUUUGGAUACUGACAGGUCCCCGCUGCAGCUAACGACAUAGCUCCCAACGUUUUCCUGCCCCCAGACCCCAAAAUAUUUCCAGAACAGCUUAGAAGCCAACUCGCUAGACCCUGCAUACCCAGAAAGACCCGGGGAGUCUCGGGUCCCCACGCCACUGUGUCCAAACAAUGCAGACCAGCAAAGGUUUAUGACGACCAGCGGCACGUGAAACUAGACGCGAUACACUCAGGUCCUGGGGUAGCUGACUCAUAAGGUAUAUCACAUCAAGAACCUUGCAACUUCCGGGAAGAGGACUUGAGAACGAGAGACCAGGCGGCCACCUUCUCCUGCACCCUGCUUCCCAAGCCGCCUUCUUCGGGCAACUACUCAGGGCCAAGGUUCCACCCCGCAGAAAGAAGACCACUUGGAAGACGACCGUGGCACUCCACGGGUUUAAAAGAAGCCCAGAGCGUCCGUGCCAGGCUCCCAGCAGGGGGAAAAUGCUUCAAAUUCACACCUUCUGGGCUCCAGGGAAGCGCAUGCCAAUAAAGAAGUCACCUACUGGUCUGAUGACCAAAGGAAUGAGGCCUUGAUCGCACUAAAGCCACCGAACAUGAAAUCUAAGCUGCGGCCAGAGGGCUCACGGCUCAGCUUCACGCAAAACCUAGGCUGACGACGGGACCGGCACCUAUUAUUCUGACGAUGCACCGAGGAUGACUGAACCA